GAAAGUCAAUAUCCAUCUUUCUUCUGAUUAGGAUAGCUCUAGAGGUGAUGAAUCAAUGAGGAAGGGAGUGAGAAGCAGACACCGACUUAGGUGGAGCAUCCUUCUGCUGUCUGGAGUGCUUUCAAGUGAUUUGGAGGAGCUGGGAUCUUUGCCGGCUAGGGUUUUUCUUUUUGGAGCCAUUUAGAGUUUGGAUUUCUCGAGGAAUGUGGAAUGGAGCAGUCAUUUGAGAGAUUGGAGGGAGUCGGGAGGGGUUUCGACAAAAGUGGACUUGAGGGCCGAUG
rnacentral:lncRNA from 1 species